rnacentral:rRNA from 1 species
AUAGGUGGCAAGCGUUGUCCGGAAUUAUUGGGCGUAAAGCGCGCGCAGGCGGUCCUUUAAGUCUGAUGUGAAAGCCCACGGCUCAACCGUGGAGGGUCAUUGGAAACUGGGGGACUUGAGUACAGAAGAGGAAAGCGGAAUUCCACGUGUAGCGGUGAAAUGCGUAGAGAUGUGGAGGAACACCAGUGGCGAAGGCGGCUUUCUGGUCUGUAACUGACGCUGAGGCGCGAAAGCGUGGGGAGCAAACAGGAUUAGAUACCCUGGUAGUCCACGCCGUAAACGAUGAGUGCUAAGUGUUAGGGGGUUUUCCGCCCCCCUUAGUGCUGCAGCUAACGCAUUAAGCACUCCGCCUGGGAGUACGGCCGCAAGGCUG